AGACUGUGUUCGCUCGACUGCGAUACACGUAGGCACGCUGCUACAUCGUCGAGGGGAACCAUCGACUGCAACCAAAGGGGGAAAAGCAGGCGACCCUUGGAGAACUCAACGUGUCUCUCGCAAAAAACGCGACAUGCUUGCGCGGAGGUCAGGGACUGCCUUGCGGCGCCUCCGACACAUGCCUGUGGCGGCUGCCGCGCCAACGCAGCUCGAGGCGUACCCCACUUUUGUGAGCUCUCGGCCCGUUUGUGCCAGCGGCGUUGUGCGUCAACGUCGGCACGAGUCGGUGACGCAUGCACACCGUUUUCUGUCCGCCUCGCAGCUUGUCCGUGCUCAGGCAACGACGGUGUGGAAUUCGGCCGCAGGCCUUAGCGUCACUCUCCCACCGCUUUGCGCGUUGGGUGCCUGCGCAGACGCCGGUAGUGGCAGCUCGAGCCGCUACGAAGAUGUAUGGGCUCCCAUCGAGUCAUACCUGGCGCAGCUCAGCGCUGCCACCGCUGGCAACAACGGUGGAGGAAAGUCCGGCGUGACGCCCGCCGAGCCGUCUCCACCUCUGUGUCUCGUUCUGCGCCUCUUUCCAGACUUGACCAUAGCGCAACUGCCCUCUUUACGUCGUGGCAGCACGGAGGGUAGCAGCUUGCCUCGCCGUGCGCGCAGCAGCUUCAUUGCUCCACAUGAAUACCCGCUCGACGCCAUAUUGGGAGCAGAGGAGUUGUGGGGUGGGGGCGCAGACCCUCAGCAGGUGUUUCGCUGCGCUAUCGACUGUCUGCACGAGCUGGGCCAACGACUUCUUCCGCAGCUGGCGCUCGUGCUGCAGCUGCCUACGCGGCUGCUUGUCUCGCAGCAGUUCCUUCAUGACCUCGCGGCGCUGCUUGUCCACGACAGUUGGCGCAGCAUCUCCUUUGAGUUGCCAUCGACUCACCAACUGUACUCCUGCAGCGCAGACGGAAGCCGCGCGGGGGUGCGCGCCCCUUCUGCCACCUCCGUGACGGACGUGGGGGCCGUCGACGCCACGUGGUGCCAGCUACCUGUCCUCUGCACGCCAUGGCCGACUCUGUGCCGUCACCCGGCGUUGGGGCGGACGCUGCGUCAGCUGCGCCGCCAUGACGUGGUCCCCCUCCACGUGCUCUACUCGUGGGCCGUGGCAGAGAUGCAGCUCUUCCACAGCUUCGAGCUGUCCAUCGUCGUGGACACGACCGCGCCGAUGCCAGGAGAGGAGGCGCUGCACGCGUAUCUGCAGGGCCCCAGCAGCGUGGGGCGAUCUGCUGAAGAGCUCCACCGCGCGUCGCCGCAGCUCCCACGCCAGCCCCGUGACUCUACAGAUGCCCGCCAUUCGUUGGGUCAGACUGACGGCGAUGCCCACCUCACGCGCAAGCACGUGUACAUGAGCGAAAACCCAAGGACGACACGGGGGGCUGCCGUGGGUCUCAGUAACGGUGCGAUAAAUGCGCUACGGCGGCGAGAUCGGAGUGCGACGCCGCUCGAGAGCCACAAGGUGGACCUCGAUGGCGUGGAGAAAGAGUGGCGACUACGGAAGCACACCAACGCGACGCCACCGUCUGGGGCGGCGACGGCGGUGGCGCACACCCCACUCGCGUCUUCGGGCAGCCUGGGCGACCUCUCGCUCUCUCUCGACGCCCCGCCAGACCAUUUGCGCGCACUCAUCGAGAACUCGAUCCUUUACUGCGACGCAGCUGCUCGGCCUCGCCUGUCACAGCGACAGCGCACGAUGGAGGAGCCCUCUGUCGCUGCGUCCGGCGACACUGAAAGCCCUCCAUCCUCCUCAAUUAACGAGGAUGACCAGAACGCGUCAUUGAAGCAGGAGGCCAGGGAGUUGGAGCGGUUGUUGAGGGAAGCUAACGACGCCAGUGGUGUGGAUACAUCGAGCACCGAUGCAGAGAUGAUGAUGGCGGAGGUGCAGCGCUACACACGCGCCCAUUCAAAGACGUCGCCGGCUCACCGAGAAAUCAUGAAUCGGAUGCACGCCGCGCCCGGCGCCGAUUCCGGGGUGACGUUCAACGCUUGGUCUGCGCUUCCAGGGUACUGGUCGUGUAUACACGCCCUCGUCGAGGUCACGCAUGCAGCCUUGUUGUGGACCGCACCAACGUUCAACAAAGGGGCAGUGCAAGCAUGGACGGCUGCUUAUCACGCAUCACAGUGCCCGAGGGUAGGCCAUGGUGAGCCGCAUAUGCCCACAAGAAACACACCGCUGCCACUGGUUGUGCCAAUCUACAUGCCGGUCCAGUCAGCAAUGCAUGUGGAGGUGGAGCGACUGUUGCGCGAGGGCCGCUGGUUCGAAGAGCCGCCGCUGCUCCAGAGCAGGGAGGAGGGCACAGCUCUGCACACAUGGCUACCUGCGUCACUAAACGUGGCCCUCGCUGACACCUUGUCCAGGCUGCCAGCCGACUAUCAAGCGCGCGAGCGAAGCCGGCUGCUGCGCGAUCACCAGCGACUUCGAAAGGAGGGGGCGCACGGGGCGCGCCGCGGUGGCAGUGUGAGUGAACCUGCAGCGGCGCCACCGGCAUGCUCUGAAUUAUGCCGAGACGAUGAGGAGCUGCGCUCGGCGCUCAUCCGCAUCUACCAAGAGGCUCGCCCUUUGUUCCUCCUGACGCCGGCGCAGGUGGAGAGAUGCGAGUCCAAGGCGUUCAAGGAGGCUGCCGCGGGGUGCGUGACGGCGGAGGAGGAGGCGGCACAGCUCGACAAAACCGUCCGCGGAGCAAACAAAACGUUCGCGCAGGCGGUCGAGGAGAAUUAUCGCGCCGCUUUCCCGGCGAGCGAUGCGGUUGCCGCGCAUAAGACAGCGCCCAUGCGCCUUCUGCACGUUCCCACGCCGGGGCUGAGCCUAGAGGAGCUCGACCGCUCCUGGCGUUGUCUCUCCUCAUGACGAAAAAGGAGCGCGUUUUAUCGCGUCUCUUGUGGAGACCGUUGGAAGAGGGAACGAAAAGGAAAACAACAACGAAACGUGCGGCCGUGCUCGCGUGCAUGUGUGACGUCAACUCUCUCGCGCCUCCUCACCCGUAGCCCUGUGUACGGCCUGGGACGUUGGCCUGCUCUGCGUCUGCUUGUCUGUCUGUGUUGAUGUGUGCGGGGGCGCUGUCCGCGUUGUGCACUGUGCCUCUUCACCUGCUCCGCUGGACGCAUACUGAUCUGAUUUCUUCUGUGCAGCCCGCUGAUCGUCACAUGUU
rnacentral:misc_RNA from 1 species